rnacentral:lncRNA from 1 species
ACACGGACCACAUGUCACUCUACUCCAGCAAGGUUUCCUCUGGCUCAGCUAGCAUAAACAUUUCCAGGAAAAAGAAAAGGACUUUAACUUGGUCAGAGAAUGAAAGAAGCCUGGAAGAUUCAAGGCCAGGAAGACAUUUCCACUUGGCCUGUGAAGGGUCACUCGGCCAAGACAUCAGGGGAAUGAGUUCUCUGAAGCCAAAGGAUUCCUGGGGACAAGGAUGAAAGAGAUGAGGGGUUUUCCAAAGACGCCAGUGAAUGACUGAAACACACUGCCCAUCGGGAAGGACUGUGCCAUGCGUCUGCCUCCUUGUCCUUCUCAGGAACACUGUGGCUGACUAACCUCAUUUCAGCCCCAAGGCACCCAUGAACCU